rnacentral:rRNA from 1 species
UACAGAGGUCUCAAGCGUUGUUCGGAUUCAUUGGGCGUAAAGGGCGCGUAGGCGGCGCGGUAAGUCGGGGGUGAAAUUUCGGAGCUUAACUCCGAAACUGCAUUCGAGACUGCGGUGCUUGAGGACUGGAGAGGAGACUGGAAUUCAUGGUGUAGCAGUGAAAUGCGUAGAGAUCAUGAGGAAGACCAGUGGCGAAGGCGGGUCUCUGGACAGUUCCUGACACUGAGACACGAAGGCCAGGGGAGCAAACGGG